AUAUUAGUAUAAGUUGCCAACCGUCUCUAACGUAAGUGAUAAAAGGGCUUGGUGAUUGAUACUCGAGACCCAAGUUCGAAUCCUAAUUAAUUCAUAUUUUCAACUAAGUUUAUUUUUAAAUAAAAUAAAUGAAGCAAGUACCAUGCUACCUUUCUCUCAAAAAAAAAAAUAUUAGUAUAAGUUUUACACUCAUGUUAUUUUUUUUUUUAUAACGCUCAAAAUUUGGGAGAAUUUGUGAAUUUUUUUUUGGAGUGUACGGUUAUCAAUUUAAGAGUUUAGACAUUUUUUUUAAUUUUUAGUAUUAAAAAAUUAAUAGAAUUAGUGAAAAAAAU
rnacentral:lncRNA from 1 species